rnacentral:pre_miRNA from 1 species
CCACUUAAACCUGCCGGUUCGAACUGUGAUAUGAAGUGUUCACCGGGGGCCUUGAGUAGC